rnacentral:lncRNA from 1 species
GGAUGAGAUUCAGUGUGUAAUUCUCAGAGUAGUCUUUAGCUUAUUGUAACCCCAAUUUUAAAGACCCCUUAGUGUUAUUAUUCCUUAGACUAAAACUGCCUGCCCCCCUCCCCGCUACCCCCAAUAAAACUUCUAGUUUUCCUGACCCAUUUUCAAAAACCUUGAGAAGAGUUUAUCUGUAUCCUGGGAAGAAAGCCAACUAUAAGAUAAGCUGAAUGAGGGAAAGUACAGUGAGUUUCAAAAGUUUUAUUACGGUCCCCAGCCGAGGAAUCCCAUGAUAGUCAUGGGUUUUUCGCAGCCUCCCCCUCUCCCCCCGCCCCUUCUGUGGAAUUGGCCAAAGAGGAGGAAGAGAGUCUUGCAUCAGGAUUGUUAUAAAAGUCUAUGAUUGUACUUAGAAGAGAGGACAUUUUUGCCCUGAGCAAGUCACUUGUGUGGGCAGAAUCCCUUCUCCCCCAUUCCCCACUCCCUGCUGUCUGCUGUUUUCUUUGAAUAAAGCUGCUUUUCUUUGCCAGCAUCUUAUCAAGUCACCUGUCUGCUUAUUAGAGUGAUUUCUGGGGGUAUGAGUCUCCCCAGAAUUCCACUCCAAACAGAUGGGGGCUCAUCCGGGAUUCUAUAAUGUUAGAAGUGCCUCAGUUUACCCACUAGGAAAAAUCUGAGUCCUUCUUUAUGCUUUUUAAAAAAACCCUGUGAGCAAGAGAGCCUGUAAGGACUGAUAGAUGCAAGAGAAAAGAGACUGGAGCCAACACUUCUAACGUAGAGACCAUUCAUUUUGCUGUCCUGCUGCCUUAUGAAGUCACUUGAUUCUUGUUGUUGUUGUAUUCUGGUUCUUAAAAGACUGGAUUUCUUCCCUGGAUUUUUGGUCAUCCUUCGCCUUCUGAUACAGGCUGACAUUUCCCUUAUGAUGCGCCAGUUGUCUCAGGAUACAAAGAAAAGACUCACCUCCCUUGGACCUCUCUCAAGAUUCUGGCUCAGAGGGAGGCUCACAGACACAAAUUCACAUAAGAGGUGGAGGGUAAACAGAAUUGAAGACAUUUUAAAGUGGGGAUAUCCUUGUAGUACCUGA